CGGUCCUGGCUGAGGUAGUAGUUUGUGCUGUUGGUCGGGUUGUGACACUGCCCGCUGUGGAGAUAACUGCGCAAGCUACUGCCUUGCUAGUGCG
rnacentral:pre_miRNA from 1 species